rnacentral:lncRNA from 1 species
GCAAAGCUGGCGUGCAAAAAGUCUAUUCAAAUGAGCUCAGAAGCAUGCUAUUUAUAGCCAAAUGGAAUGAUAUUUGCACACUUCAAAUUUUGUGCAUUUUUAGCAAUGUGGAUGGCACGAGUGCAUGGUCAUGUACAAACCCAUGAUGCAAUGCAAAAAGGUCCAAAAUGAUCCCAAAUGAAGUCUGAAUGGAAGCUUGAUUGGCAAGGCA